UACAGAGGGUGCAAGCGUUGUUCGGAAUUAUUGGGCGUAAAGCGCGUGUAGGCGGCUUUGCAAGUCGGGUGUGAAAGCCCUCAGCUUAACUGAGGAAGUGCGCCCGAAACUGCUUGGCUUGAGUACCGGAGAGGAUGGCGGAAUUCCCGAAGUAGAGGUGAAAUUCGUAGAUAUCGGGAGGAACACCGGUGGCGAAGGCGGCCAUCUGGACGGAUACUGACGCUGAGACGCGAAAGCGUGGGUAGCAAACAGG
rnacentral:rRNA from 1 species